AACGAACGCUGGCGGCAGGCUUAACACAUGCAAGUCGAGCGCCUCGCAAGAGGAGCGGCAGACGGGUGAGUAACGCGUGGGAAUCUACCGUGCCCUACGGAAUAGCUCCGGGACACUGGAAUUAAUACCGUAUACGCCCUUCGGGGGAAAGAUUGAGCGUGGUAUGAUGAGCCCGCGUUGGAUUAGCUAGUUGGUGGGGUAAAGGCCUACCAAGGCAACGAUCCAUAGCUGGUCUGAGAGGAUUAUCAGCCACAUUGGGACUGAGACACGGCCCAAACUCCUACGGGAGGCAGCAGUGGAUAAUAUUGGACAAUGGGCGCAAGCCUGAUCCAGCCAUGCCGCGUGAGUGAUGAAGGCCCUAGGGUUGUAAAGCUCUUUCACCGGUGAAGAUAAUGACGGUAACCGGAGAAGAAGCCCCGGCUAACUUCGUGCCAGCAGCCGCCGUAA
rnacentral:rRNA from 1 species